rnacentral:lncRNA from 1 species
GGUUACUAUGUGCAAAAAGAAAACGGUUUUCUUAUUAUUACUAUUAUUAUAAACUCUGGUCCACUCACCUUUUGUUUUUGUGCCCCCUUCAGGACCUAGUGACGAGGAAUACGACUCGAGCAUCGAGGCAUUUCCCUUCUAGUGAUCUUGUUUUCUCCUCACUACGUAUGACCUUUUUAUGUAUAAUUGUAACUUUAUGUCCUUCAUUUCGCUAGCACUAUUGUUUAGUAGUAUGCUCUGGACAUAUUCAUGCAUCCUUUGUUUCGAAUUGUUGACAGUUGGAUAUUCUCCUUAUAUUAUGACUAACGUUAUAUUAUUAUCAUUUCUUUAGCGUUUGUAUAUUCUUUAUGAUUAUUGUUUCUCUUUUGACUUUUCGAUUACAUGCUUCCUUGUGUUCAUGCAUAUUCAUAUAAUUAUGACUUUCGUCAUGCUCGAGUGUCGGUCAGCACGUGUCAUGCAGGUGUCAUUUGGAUAUUUGGGUUGGGGCGUGUCCAUCAAACCUCGAAAUGGCAGGUUGCACGAAGCUACUCUCGUAUGCCAUGUAUUUUGUUCCUUCAUGCUAGUAACUAUGUUGCAGGCUUUGAUCAAGCCCCGUGAUGGGGCUCUGAUACUAAAUGUUAGAAUAAAAAAAGGAUGGAAAAGAGCUCUUGUAAACGCAAAGUCUGAUUACACUUGUAAAUUGGGAGAAUUCUUAUUGAAUUGAAAUAACACUAAUGACUGUUAAAUAGCCUUACAAUGAAAUAGGAAAAAAAAAACAACAACCCACGAUUUUACAUGGCCUAGAAUCCCUCCUAUACUUGAGGGACAAGAUUGUUUUUCCCUUUCUGACUUGUCAUACACCAACAUUCUAGGCCAUGUAAAUUAUUUUUAAAUUAUGUGCUUCUUGAGGUCGUGGAUCCUUGUUUCCCCGUUGAGUAUUUGACUUAGAGAGUUAAAAAUAGGGAUGCCAACUACUACGCAUGCAAUUACGGCACCAAUACGAGAGAGCAGAGAAGCAACAACGGUACCAUCGUUGCCAAACAAAAAAUAGUUAACCAUACUUUGCCUGGGCCGCAUGGGUUCCACUGCUAUCAGGGCUGCAUAAAAUGCCGCCAACAUGCCAGCAAUGGAAUAACUAAUAAGACUCGUAGGUGUGGGUAGAUGGGUUGACAGGACAGAUAUAGGACUGUAUUCGUUAAAUAUCGCCGACACUGAGAGAGCGAAGCAAAGCGUGUUAAAAAACAUAAAUACUUUGUAAGCUCCUUUUUUUGUUAAAACUGGUGUUCCAUCGUCUGUAAACCCUCCAGGCGGGUUCAAAACGGCCGAAAAUGUAACGGUUGCAAUGACCGUCGCUACCAGAAGUUUCGAAUCAUUUCUAUUGAAGGUCUGAGCCAAAUAAGCCUGCAAGUUUUCUCUCGUAUUUUUAGUAUUGACCGGUGUCUCAGACGUACUGCUUUCCCCUUGGGAUCCAAAUUUCUUGAACUCCUGCUUGAUUUUUUGUUGAUAAUAUGGCACGGUAACGACAACGUCUCUUGCCAGGCAGUUCAAAACAUUGCGACUUUUUACGAUUUCCUAAAACAUAAAUAAAGUACUACACUUUUAGUAAACAUAUACAGGACUUAAGAACAAUAAGGUAACGAAUUUGGAUUUAGAUAUGUUCUGCGUUUGAUUCUAUCCAAUAUAAGAAAAUAAAAUAGAGAGUUCAAAGUUGAAAUCCAAGGGAAAUAAAUAAAAGAUUCUUCCCGUGUUCUCGGCGAGCAAAAUGUCGCUAACUUGCAAAAAUUCUUUAUUGAUAGCAGUUCUGUUCAACCUCCUGUCUCUCCUUAAAAUAGCAACGAUUUCACUAUUUUCAUGAAUAGCAGCUAGAUGCCAAGGAGUGUUUCCAUCAUUAUCUGCUUCGUUUAUAAGUCUCGCAAGCCUAGGCGUCUUCAAAACGUACACUUCACAACAUUUAUCUUUUCGCCUAAAACUGCUGCAUGUAGAGCUGUUUGGCCCUUGUGAUUGACACAAUCACAAAUAUCAGGACAACGUCCGAUCAACUCUUCAAUUAUUUGGGUGUGCCCUGCAUAUGCCGCGACGUGGAGAGCUGACAUGCCAAGCUCGUCUUUGAUGUAACAAGCAAAUUUGAAAGUUUUGCAAUUUUGAAUCAGUAGUUGAGCUGCUUUAAGGUUCCCUCUCAGUGAUGCGUAGUGUAAUGGAGUCCACCCUAUUUCAUCACGAACUUCGACCAUCCCAGGAUUUUUGGUAACCAUAGAUUGCACAAUUCCUAAAAUGUUGGUAUAGAAAAAUUAGAAAUUGUGUUGCGGGAAUCAAGUAUAUAUAUGAAAAUAAGGCAUACCAAGUAACGAGUCCCUUAAGAAGGAUCUUGCGCAACGGUAGCUGGACUGAGAUGCAUAUCUCAAUCAUUAAGGAUAUAUUAUCGACUGUCAAUAUGUCAUACUCGAUAACUAAGUUGAUUAUACAGUUAUAUGUUGAUGGGAUUCCGUGCAUAAGAAGGGUCUAGUACGGUAGUACCAAGCAAUGUCAUGAAGUUAAUUACCUUUCUUGGCGAAGGGUAUACGAGUGGCUGCUGCGUGCAAAGCGGUCACACCAUUUGUUCCCUGAAAAGAAAGAGAUUCAUGAUCCGGAGUCUUUUUUAAAAUAUAAUCAGCAAUGCUGGUAGACCCGGCUCUAACAGCUAGGAACAGGGGUGACUCCUUGGUGCUGUAAAAUGAACAACACAAUUCAGGAUCAGCACUCAGCAAAAUCUUCGCUACUCCAGCAUGAUUGUAUCGAACAGCAACAUGCAGUGCUGUAUCCAUUUCCAAAUUAGGCAUUCGGAGUAGCUUUUUGUAAGCUUCACCGUCAGUUGGUUCCUUUUCUGGAUCAAGAUCAACCACUUCCAUAGGUUCCGCUUUUAUGUGCUCAAUGAGGAACGUUACUACUUCACCGCAACCUACUCUCGCGGCAACAUGUAGAGGAGUUUCGCCAUUCUUGUUGGUGGCCCAAAACCGGGGAGAUUCGGGAAUUUUUUUCACUUUUUUGAAGAAGUUUAUUUGCUUGAAUUCAGCUGCAAUGUGAAGAAUAUUGUUCUCUUUAGGUGUUUUCUGAGAGAGAUCAGCUGUUAGAAGUCCUUCCAAGAAGCCAACAUCACCAGUUGCAGCUGCUUCAUACAGAGAAGGAUUCAUGCUUCCACCUCUCUCUCAGAUUUCCUAAAAAGUAUAACGUUGAAAUAAGAACACAAAUGCAAAUUGCAAUGGAGGAUUUGUGAACCAUAUAUAGGUCACUUACAGGAGGUUGCCAAUUGCAUGCCAAGUAGGCAAGUAGCCAUGCCAAGUAGGCAAUGCCUACUACCAUUCAAAACACUUGUGCCGUCCACCAUUCAAAACACUUUGUUUAUUUUUUCUUCUCUUCUUGUCAGUAACCCAUUCAAAACUUUUAUUUUUUAUAUUAUUUUUCUUUCUUUUUCCCACAUGGUGCCGGGCACCAUUCAAAACUCUUUGUUUAUAUUAUUUUUUAUCCUUUUCGGUGUCAGAAAACAUGUGCUUGUGUUUAUCUCCUAACAUUUUUUAAUCUUAGAUUUUUGUCCACUACAAACCUUAUCCAAAGCAGAUGAGAGACGUGAGGCAGGGAAGGACAAAACAGACUUCUUGCUGUAGCAAAGUGUGAACAGUACGGAACCAAAGCAGAAACCAAGUGCAUUCCCGCUCUUUAACUGUUGGUGAACAGUACACGCUCUCACAUAAUGAACAGUGCCAAUCAACUGGACUUUAGCAUGUAUAAAUAUAUAUACACACACAUAUAUAUUAUGGUUGUUGUAUUUUAUAGUUAAAUUUUAUUAAUAAUUUAAAAAAUUAAAAUCAUCGAAAUAAUUUUUUUUUAACGUAUCAAAACGAUUUACCAACGUGUCAUCCUCGGAUAAACUUGUUAAGGAUACAUUAUUAAUAAGUUCUUAUCGUGUAAUCCAAUAACAACCUAAUUAAUUAUUGUGUUGAUCCAAAAUUCUUUAUUUUUAUGUUUAUGUGUCGUGUUAACAAAUCAUGUAAAAAAAAUGUCCGGUUUACUUUUCAACUUUAAAUUAUUAAUUCGUUCAAUGUUGGUGUCUUUGUCUUUUGGGUUAAAAAAUGCACUGUCAACUAUCAUUGUCAUCGAAUAGUCUGUCAGUCUUCCAAGGAAACUUGUAAGUAUUUUCGUCCGGAAAACUGCCAAAACCAAGAUCACAAUUUCUGUCAAAGUAUUCCAUAAACGUGAAUAAUUAGUGAAUUAAUGCGUUAUAUGAAAAUGCAUACAUUUACUAUUUGGUCUUGGCAGAAAUUGUGAUGCAAUUUCUGGAACGAGAAUUCUCUCCGAAUUCUCUUUGUGAGGAUUCCGAAAAUUCUUCAAUCAUGUCUGUUCAUCAUAUAUGAUAUGAUCAUUUUUUGUCAGGUAUUAUUUGUAUUUAAUUUUAAAUAAAAAAAUUAAAAUACUUUCUGACAGCACGAUAUAUGAUAAACGGAUACGAUUAAAAGAUAUAUGGAAUCUUCACAAAGAAGAUUAAAAAAGAAUCCUCAUUCCGAUUUCUGAAUGGACUUGUCAAAGUCCCGUGUUGUCUCCUACCAUGAAAUUCAAACAUGUCACAUGGGCUCAACGCACUUAGCUUAAACUAGAAAAUGUGUGCGUGCUUUGUUGCGGACAUUGAAUGUAUUAUCCACAGACACACGUGAAUAAUUUCCACACAAAGUAACUAAAAAGAUGGGGUAUUACCUAAGAACCAAUGAAGUGAAACUUUGCUUGCUAUGUAUGGAUAUGCAUGCUAUAAGAAACCAUUCAUUUGUAGAUCAUAUUGCGUCAUCAGUAUUAUACUCAUACUCUCAGGUGAUCAGCCUACUACAUGAGAAAAACACAGAAAAGGCAAAUCACAAAAGUAGAAGACAACAUUUGAGCAUCUAGCAAGAAUAGUUAGUUUUUGAAAAAAUUGCUAAACAGUCUUACAAAUUCAAUUGUUAAAUGUUACACUAUGACCUAAGAUAAAAAUAAAGUAUAGGAAACUUUAACGAAAAAUCACAUUUUUACACUAAAAAGUCAAUCCUAAUACUAUUCCCUUUACCCUUUAUUUUGUCUUUAUCGUUAAAACUCAGUUUUCAAAUCAUUUUCAUUAGUUUUCCUUAGUUUUCCUUGAAGUUAUAUAGUUCAUUCACAUAUCAAAACAAAGUGCGAUCAAAGGAAAAUGAUUAAGAAGUUGAAAAUACAAAACUGGAUUAGGCAACCAUAUCUUUUAUCGGUAACUAAACAAAUAAUUUAGAAUUGUACAAACCCGAUUCUAGCUCAUCUACCUCCUCUCAUCCUCAGCUCUGUAUUUCAAAGGCUGAGUAGCCACGUUUGGAGAAGUUAUCAAAUAAUCACCAUCUGAAGAUUGAGAAUAACCUCCAUUCACAUUGCAAAUUUUUUUUUAGAAAAUGGGACAAAUUAACAUAUUUAGAGUUAAUUAUUCUGAUGCAAACAUUCUUAAGAUAAAUUAAGUAGAAAAAAUGUAACGAAUCCAAUGAAAAAACAGAAGGAAAAUGAUUUAAAGAAAAGUUAAACUUUAAAUACAUCACAUUAGUGAUUAAUCAACUAGAUAGUUAGUCUCAAACCAGAGUCUCAAUGAUCUCGCAAUACCAGGGACAUCACUCUCCCUGUUAACUCUCAACUACCUCAACUCCAUCACUCUCCCCCCCAUUGUUUCUAAUUCACCUCUCCUUCGAACUCUUCGACUACAAAUUUAUAUAUAGCAACUUGAACUGUCCAUUUCAAAUCAUAUAUACAUAGGCAGAAAAGCAAAAACUAAAUUCCUGCCGCAUAAAUUAAUUGGUAACCAAACAAAGAAAAAUUCUUGGAGACUGGAACAAAUCCAAUUGAAUUUUCAUGAAACGUAUACUUAAGUGCCCAAAAUUUGAGUUUUACAUCAUAUUAUGUUCUUACAAAAACAGUUUCUCGGCUGCUAGGUAAUUUCUGUGGCUUUUGAUCAAUAGUUGUACUUAUAUACCCAAAAAAAUAAAAUAGUCAAACACAAAUGAAAGAAAGACCUAUCAAAUUAAUAAGAAAUCCAAGUUAGAGUUGUUAAAAUUCACUUUUAUCUAUACAAUUCAAACUUCCACACAUUUGUUCAUACACUUCACCAACUGUCAAACACUGCUAAUUACCAAGAUAGCAAGAUAAUGAAUUCUGUGAACAAAAAAAUGAAAAAUGAUAUGCAAUUUGAACUUACAUGCCAAAGAAGCUCCAUAAGAGUAGUAGCUUCCUACUUAUUGCAUGCAUCAAAAGCAUUGCAACCGCAGAUCCUGAAAAUUAUCAAAAUUCAUCGAGUCAAGAGGCAAUAUCAUAGUUGUGUGAAGGUGAAUAUGCAACCAAUAAUCUAAGAUAUACCUGACAAUUUUGCAAUUCCGUUGUAAUUUCACACAAAAAAAAUAUCAAAUUUUGAUUCAAACAUCAAACAAAAUAAUCCCACCUGUUACAGAUUGGACCAACGAAAUAAAGAAUCUAUUAAUAUGAUUUUCAACCUAACUAUAAAAAGGAGCUUUAUAACUAUCAAUAUAAUUUCAACCCAUCUGAAAAGAAACUGAUUGUGUGUCAUAAAUUCUAUGGGUAAUUUGAUUUUGCAGAUUAAAAAGAAUUGAAGAAUACUAAAAAUUACAAAACCCUAUCACAACAUACCAUCAGCGAUGAAUUAAAUCCAAAUGUAAACUGCAGUUUCUUAUAGAGCAUAUCCAAAAGUAAAUUGCAGUUUCCUAUCUCUCCGAGCAUCUAAACAGAAACUGUAAUUCAAAACUCUGAUUUCAAUAACCCAAAAAGUUUAAAUUGCUUACCGUUCUCUUGACUGUGGAUUACAUUAAGUAUAUGGAGUUUAAAAUUUAAAAACAAAAAGACAAAAAAACAAAAAAACAGAUAACAAAUAGGGAGUAAGAUCAAACAGUGAGUGGUUCAAUUAACCUUUUUCUGUUGGUCGCGUCUGUGAAUCCUUUAAUUUGCAGAAUGAGCUUGGGAACUCUUCCCAAAACUCCCACAAUCAACGCACCUGCGUCAAAAGGGAAAGGAAAAACAGUUGAAUAUUUGAACUGCACCAAACAGAUUGAUUGAUAAAAAAUAAACGAACAUGACACGACCAAUGAAUUUCACCAAACGGGAAGUAAUAAAAUAUUGGACACUGAAUGAGUUGGAAUAAAAACACAACUGCAUUUUCUUAUUCUUCUCCCACAUUCAUGAGGCUUCUUUUUCAUCUUUUUCUCUUCUAAUUUCAAAGAACACAACAAUUAGCACAGCCUGCUAUAAGGUAGAGGAAGCAUAUGAGUCUCCUCAAAAUGGAUGUCCAAGGCUGACCCUUAUGCAGAAGGAAGCAUGGGAAGCAUAAAUGGGAUAUCAAGAGACGAUCUCAAGUAAAUUUGCAACACAAAACCCAACCAGCAACAAUUUGUUCAUGACAUCUUAAAACAUCAAAUUUCAAAACAGGACAUUUAAUGCAAAGAGCUCAAACUAUAAUAAUUGGUGAAUCAAAUAUUUUCUAUUGAAUUUAUCCUUUCAAUUGGUUGGUAUUUUCGUUUAUUCUCGUAUCUUUCAAUUGUCACCCAAAACUAACAUCUGAGAGAGCAUUGCACUUCUUAUCUUUAAAAGCACGAAUGGUGAACUAAAUCAAAGAAUAAGAAUCAGCAAUGAACUAAACAAAAACACACUUUUUACGAACAUUAUUCGCACAAAAAUUAAAACUGUAUUGAGAAACUCACCACCCCAUUUCUAAUGAAUGACGUAUGAUGAUAGGAACAUCAUACGGUGAAUUGCAUAUAAAGUAAAACAUCAAGUAUACCUCGAGGCGACAUUAGAUACGAUCAUUAUCCAAUCUUCAUCUUUGACACCAAGAGCACUCAGCAUCUCAGAAUUCCUCAUCUCCCUACCCUCACAUAGCAACUUCUGCUGCUGAAGUAGUACCCGUGUCUGCUCAUACGCAUCGAAAAACAUCACACAUUCAAUAUACAUUUCUCUAUUAAUUAAUCAGCUAACUAAAUUUAAAAUUAGUUUUCAAACCAAAAAAAUUUCUAAAUUUUUUAUUUUGCAAUCACACCCAGUUCUUCAUCUCUUACUCUAAAUUCCAAUUACAAAAAAAUCUAAACUUUACUUCAAUUUAAUAUUGUUUUCCCCAAAAACAGCACAAUCCCAUAAAAAUAAAGUUUAAAAAAAACAACAAUAAAUCAUGAAUUAAAUUAAACUUCUCACCUCCACCUCCAACAUAGCUUUCACAUUCUCAACCUGUCAUAAAAAAAAUCAAAUCAAAUUCAAGUAAAAAUAAAAAAGAGAACUUGAAUAAAGCAACCCUAGUCCACCCAGUUCUUCGUCUCUUACUCUAAAUCCCAAUUACAGAAAUAUCUAAACUUUACUUCAAUUUAAUAUUGUUUUCCCCAAAAACAGCACAAUCCCAUAAAAAUAAAGUUUAUAAAAAAAACAACAAUAAAUCAUGAAUUAAAUUAAACUUCUCACCUCCACCUCCAAUAGAGCUUUCACAUUCUCAACCAGUCAUAAAAUAAAUAAAUAAAUAAAUCAAAUCAAAUUCAAGUAAAAAUAAAAAAGAUAACUUGAAUAUAGCAACCCUACUCCCCCUCCUUCUCCCUCUCCCUCCGCAAUUCACGCGUGCACCCUCUCCCUCUGUAACCCUCCCCCUGUGAAACCCCUAAACCCCACGCAUAUGCCCUAUAUCUUGUGGCUACAACCUCACAAAUCGUCCCCAUCACCUCGAUCCCAUCGAACCACAAAUCAGGCACAAUUUAUGAGAGUAAUUGUAAAAAUGGAUAAAACACUUUCAAUAAAAGUUUUAUAAAAAAAGCUUUUCAAUCCAACACCAUCCAAAACCAUAAAAGAACAGAAUAAAGACACCAAAAGUAAAAAAUAAAUAAAUUUCCACAUAUUCAACUUUCACAGUAUAGAAACACACAACUUUCACGAUAUUAAAAAAAAAAAUUGUUGGAGAAAAGGCUCAAAGGAAAAAUCCAAAAUUAUUUACCUUGAGCAUAAAGGGCUUUGAAAGAUGUAAACAAAAGCCCCAAAAAAACGAAGAGCAUAGUGACCUGAAAUAAAAAAAUAAAAGCAAAUUAUACAACCGAAAGAUCUAAUGAUAUAAACAAAAUACCCAAAAUUAUAAAAACUAAAUUACAAAAAAUGAAGAACAAUGUGUUCUGAAACGAAAAAAAAAAGAAAAUCAUAUGCCCAAAAUUAUAACGGACGAUUUCAUAUUUUGUAGAUAGAUGACACUCCCUUUUGUCAUGUAUGAUAAAUAUUCAAAGUUAUAACAUCUCAAUUCCACAUAAGGCAGUACACAAACCUUUGGAGAGAUGCCAGUGGACAGUCAAAAGCUGGGUCUCGUGUUGUGGCAACGACUCAUGCUGCUGUUCAUCGAUCACUGCAAAAGAACGCAAAGUUCUAUAUUGCUAUAGUACAUACUAGAGAUUUAUGCCCACGCGUUGCUGCGGGAUUGGAAAUUGUAUCAAAUGGUCUAGAUUAAAACAAUCAAUUCAAUCAAGAUCCAUAUUCUCAACAAACAAACUGUAACGGAGAACGUGAUAGGAUUUGAUCACAAUGCACAGCGGAAUCAACAACUAAUAUUCAACACUACACAAUCCAAAACGGUAAUGAUAUUAAGUUUUUUUUUAAACCUGAUUGUACUAAGUGAUUCUUUCAAUAAUAUGAUAAAUUAAAUAAAAUGAUCACUACCAAUAGUUUAGAUUACAACAAUCAAUUGAAUCAAGAUCCAGACUCCAACAGGACAACUAAAAGCAAAGAGUUGAGAGAAGAAACAACACAAAUGACUGGUUCCCCGAAAACCAUUUAAGUAGAGUUAAAAAAAAGGGGUUAGUCAUGACCAAAUUUAAGAAGUCACUAAAACCAAAGCUCAAUUGCAAACCUCCUUGUAUUCCAUGUAUGCAAUGACUCUACUAAUAUGUUCACAGUCAUGUUGACCUGUAUAAAGAAAAACUCAUUUAGUUCAUAGCAAAUUGUGAGUCAUUCUGAAUAUAAAAACUUGCUUUUUCAAUCACCCAUCUAAAUAAAAAAAUCAACUCCAAAAUUGAUGGUCAGAAGUAUAACUAAAUGAAAUGGGAAAACAGUUCAAGAACCUGCCAAUGUCAAGUACUAUGACUUUGUGGGAUUAAAAAUUGUAUGAAAGAUUGUGUCAUAGAAUAUUACUAAAAUUUACAUUGAAAACGUUAGAAAUUUUUUUACAUACAAUAUACUCAUUUACAAAAGAAAACAGAGCCACUGAAACGAACAGGGAUAUCAACCAAUCAUCGCAGUACAAAACCAGUAAAUACAGCAUUCACAGAACUGAGUGACUCUUACACAAUCCAAACAUAGAAUUUUAGCUUGUUGGUAUCAGAUGAUUAACUCUAAUUACACUAACGCGGACACUAUCUCUGAAGAAAACUAAAGAGAAGGACAAAAGUUGUGAAGAGUUAUCAACCAAAGUACAAAGACCAUAAAGCAUGAAAUGUUAAAGAAGAGCAGAUUUCCUCGCAACUGAUGCAUAUUGCUGUCAUAGCUCUGAGAAUAGCUAACCAAACCAAUCUAACUCUAAAGGCAGCCAUCAUAAAUUAGAAAGCUCAUUCGACAAAAGGCUAUAUUAAAAAAAGGUUCAUGUAUAUGCCCAAUUAUACAAACAAUUUUGCUAAGGAAUGCCUUUCCAACCUCCUCCUACAGCAACAGACUCUGCAUGUACAAUUUGAUAGUGUUUCUACCAGAUAAUAUAGCCAAUGGGAUUAACAAUCAUUAAAGUUGACCCUCCACUACAACUAUACAUUCUGCUAUACAUUCAUUCUCUUGCAAAACGUUCAAAAGGAUGAUAGAAAAUCUUGUGUAUAUAAAUUAUAGCCGAUGGUAUAUGUCAGUUCUCUUCUACCAUUACAACCAAUGAGAUAUAUACAUUCUCUUCUACCAUUAAGAUAUAUAAGAAAAUAACUAUUUAACUGAAAAUGAAGAUCUAAAAGCUAGCCACUGUACAUGUUCUGUCCAUUCUAUUCUACCAUUGAAGCAUGCAUGUUAAAAAAAAUUUGUAAAUCUAAACGCUUAUUUCAAACAGAGCAUGUCCAUUCAGCUCUUAAAACCGAAAGAAAAGAUUUAGGUUUCUUUCUUACCCAAAUCCACCAAUUUGAAUCAAAUCUCUGCAACCCUUCCAAUCAAAUGCAAAUUAAUACAACUCUGCAAUCAAUAAACAAAACCCACAUAAAAAAUUCAACAAAGAAAGAGAAUCCAGAAACCAAACCUAUCAAUCAAUUCCUAAAUCAACAAUAAAAAAAAAUCAAUAAAUUAGUAUCUAACUCCACAAAUAAACAAAGCCCAUAUCAAAUAAUUCACAAAAAUUUAUUACAACUAAAGAAUUACCUUCCAAGGGAUGGAGAUUCCAAGUAGGCUUCCAAUAAUGAUCUGAUCGAUAAGAAAAUACUUGUAGGUCAUGGGAUAUCACUUUGAGAUUUUCAUGGUUUACCUUUUCUUUUAAAAUGGGUUAAUACGUGAUCAUCCAGUCCUCCAACUUUCUGUUUCUCAAUCUUCUGCAAGAGGAUUGAAAUCAGAACCAUUAAGUUUCAGAAGAAACAAAGUCGACAGGAAAAAAAUGGUGUCUCCUACAUCAAACAAUGAAAAUGCAAAUUCCUUGGGCGUAAAAGAAGGGAAGCGUGGAAUGCUUACUCAAGCUCAAUUGAAGUUGAAAGGGUCAGAGACAGAAACAGAAGCCAAGGAGGAGAAAUAACGGUCAACGCCAAAUUUGUGGGUGAGGCGAGUUCGAGAGCGAUAGAUUCAGAUUUUUUUUGUUUUGAAUAUAUAUACAACUAAUUUACCAUUCAAUCAUAUUAGUGGAAAACAAUUAAACCGUAAAAUUAACAACAAUUAAAUCUUAGGAAGACCAAAUUUCCUGUAAUUUAAAAAACCCAUAUGAAAAGCUGUAGACAGUCACCAUCCAAAACCGUAAAACAACACAACAAAGACACCAAAAUUAAAAAAUAAAUAAAUCCCACAGAUUCGACUUUCACACUAUAGAACACACAACCUUCACAAUAUUAAAAAAUAAAAUUUGUGGCAGAAAAGGCUCAAAGGAAAAAACCAAAAUUAUUUACCUUGAGCAUAUUAACGGCUUCCAAGCUUGUACACAGAUUCCCCAAAAAAUGAAGAUCAAAGUGACCUGAAACAAAAUACAGAAGCAGAUCAUACAACCAAACAACAUAUCUAAGGAUAUAAACAAAACACCCAACAUUACAAAAACUAAAUUCCCAAAAACGUAGAGCAACGCGUUCUGACACGAAAAACACAAACAAAUCAUCGACCCAGACAACGGAUCUAAUGAUAUAAAGAAAAUACCCAGAAUAAGAAAAGAAAAGAAAAAAAGUCAUUCACAAAUCCCACCCCAACAUGGAAAACUACCAAAAAAAAAGUCAUUCAGAAAUGAAGAUAAAUAGAACCUUAAUAUGGAAACUGAAGCUUUACCUGCAGAUCGGCAACGGCAAAUGAAAUCCAGCGGGUACCUCUAGAGUGAGAGAGACUUACAGGGAUCGCAGACAAAAACAGAGAAUAACACCAAAAAAAUGGGUACUGACUCGGGUUUUAAACGCAAGAUGCAGCAACUAUUUAUUUUUCAAAGCGUUUUAAACGCAAAAAAUUUGCACAGAUGAUUUGGCUAAGAAAAAUGAGAAAGAUGAGAAAAUCGAAAACGGAGAAAACGAAAGCUUGAGAGAGAAAGAAAGGCAGGCGGAAAAACAGGGUGAGGGGUGAGGGGUGAGGGGUGAGGGAGAGAGAGAGGGGGACAGAUGGGAGAGGCAGAGAGCAGUGAGGGAUGAGAGAGAGUGACAAUGUUGGGAGAUGGGGAGUCUCAGGGGUGGAGAAAAUAUUAGAUAGCAAAAACCAAACACACUUUUCAUAUGUUCUAAUCAUUUUUUUUCUCUCUAAACCAAUUUUUUUAUUAUUUGUUAUCCUUUUCGAUGUCAGAAAACAUGUGCUUGUGUUUAUCUCCUAACAUUUUUUUAAUCUUAUUUUUUUGUCCAAUACAAACCUUAUCCAAAGCUGAUGAGAGACGCGAGGCAGGGAAGGACAAAACAGACUUCUUACUGUAGCAAAUUGUGAACAGUACGGAAACCAAAGAAAAAACCAAGGGCAUUCCCGCCCUUUCACUGUUGGUGAAUAGUGCACGCUCUCACAUGAUGAACAGUACUAAUCAACUGGGCUUUAGAGCAGCUCCAGCGGGAGCUCGUGCUCGAGGGACAGGCUGCGGAACAGGACUUGAUUGCCCGAGGGAAGAAGUCCAGCGUUGGCUGACGAGGGAGCCCAAGCAGGACCGAGCGCCAGACCCGUGGAUUCGUGCCGGCCCGAGCGCCCAAAGGGGAUGUGACGUGGGUUGACGUCCCUGACAUCAGCCACAAUAUAAAAUUAAUAAAAAUACAAAAAUAUUAAUACAAAAUACAAAAUUAAUACAAAAUUUAAAAAAAAUGAAAACCCAGGCUUCGAACUCAACGGCUCUCGCCGGAGUUCGUCGUCGAGGUUGAUGAUACACCCACAAACAAAUGGCAGAGACUAAACCCAAGGGUUUCAACUCGAAACAUAUAAAAAAACAAGAGAAUAACUCAAGCAAUUGAAGUAGGGCAAUAACCUCAUCUGGGUUUGAGCAAUGGAAGCUUGAAGCUCUCGGCUUCAAUGGUGGAUCACCCAAAUGGUGCUGUGAUGAUGCAUGCAAGGAUAUAUUCGAAUUCCUCUCAUCCAGGGGAUUGAGAUUUCAGAGUUUGUUGGUUUGAUUUGCUUCGGUUUCGAAGAAGAGGAAGGAUGAAAAGGAAAAUGAAGGAUAUAUGGAUUGGAAUCUAAGCUUAUGCCUUGGCGUCGGUCCAUUUUUUUAUUCAUAUGAGAGAGAGAGAGAGAGAGAGAGAGAGAGAGAGAGAGAAUAAGAAAAGGGAGAGUGUUCUGGAAAAAAAAUGAAAAGGAAGAGUUCUGGAAAAAAAAUGAAAAGGGAGUGUUCUCUAAAAAAAAUGAAAAGGAAAAGGAAUAGGAAAAAGGAAAAAAAUUAAAAAUUAUUUUGUAUUAUUUUAUAGAUAAAAAAACUAAUAUUUUAUUACCUAUUGCCAAGGCUAUUCAAGUGCAACGGUAGAGAUGCAAAAGGCAGUUACUGUUCAUUAAGGGCGAUUACUGUUCACAUAGUGGAUUGAAUAGUGAAUAGCCUGGGGAAAGGGCUCCUGGAGUAGCUCUUAGUAUAUAUAAAUAAAUAUUGAAUCAAUUCCAAAAGGGUAUUUAUAGUAAAAAAUAAGCCUCAUAUACUUUUUCUUAGAAUGUCAGCCCCAUACUUCUUCGUAAAAACAUUAACAGUAGCUAUAGCCUGUAAAAAUAGAAAAUCAAUUAUUUACCUGCAUCAUCACAGAAUGGCAGCCACAAAAAUUACCCAGGUAAAAACUGAAUGGAAAAAUUACCUAUCUAAUGCCUUCAGAGAGGCAUGAGAUCUUUUAUCAGUGCAAAAUUGAUUUGACAUCAUUUUGUAAAAAAAAUUAGAAAGCAUAAAAUAGAUGAAAAUUAAGGCUUACAUGGUGAACAUUAUUUUUUUGCUUGUCAUACCAUUGAAUUUUUAUUGCAUUCGCAGAUGAUAUACAGGGGUUGUCAAAGCAAAAGAUAUAUGUUCUCAAAUUGUUAAUGGAAAUGGAAACACAAAGGAAAACAGUUAUUCAUAUCUAAUGACCAAAUAAAACAGGUGCAUAAUAUAUGUUCUAACCAAAUAAAAGUAGGCCGACUUGGUACCAUUUAAGAAAGCCCGAUCCGCAUUCACCACAUCUACAUAUAGUAGCAUUUAUGGGAAACGUGAAAAUCAUUGUUGAUAUAUCAUAUAUCAACAACAAUCCUUAUAGAGAUGUGACAACAAACCAACUUGAACGAAAUGUAGUCAGAUCGAUUGGCGAAAGUUAUUAUCCAUUUCGUAUCCUGCUUUAGCACUGGAAAGAGAUGCUUUAAAAUAUUUGCUGCCCUUUCACCCAACUAUGAACAAUCAAGAAAAGAAAAUCAUAUUCAAUAGAACAGUAACUACGCACGCCAACUCAUAAAGAUGUGCUGAUGCAGUGAUAUCAGUGUGCAUAAGAUUAAGACGUAGCAGGAGUGGAUGGAUCAUAAUUAAUAAGCAUUAAUCAGGGAUGGAGAGAGAAAAAGAGAGAAAGAGAGAGAGAUAGAGAGAGAGAAUUAUAUCACAAUCAAGGUAGGUUAUCAACUAUAAUCAAUCAUCCUCAUCCCUGAACCGUUAUAAACUAUCUCUAAUUGGAUCAAUGGGGUCUGAUCAAUCUUGGCAUAAUGUACGGAGUAAAGUAAGCAAUCAAGAUGCUGAAAUAUUUAAUUGAGAUAUAAUACCUUGGUUGUGAAACUGUCAAGUAUCAGAUGUGGAUAAACAUGCAUUCACGUGGCUUCCCUUUCUCCAGCCAAAACCACACAGCAUCAUGCUCAUCCUCUGCGAUUAAAAUACAACAACGAAAAAAUCAAAAUGAUAGCAAUUCAAAAUUUAAAAGAAUCAUUUUUUUUAAAUGAAUCAGUGAGCAAGCAUAGAUUUGCACAUAGAAAGAGAAAAGAAACAAGGAAGAUAUGAAUACCCACUCUCUGUCACCCAUCUGCAAGCCCACCCACCCUGUCAACCAAACUGUUUGAGAUGGACGAAACCCCAACCCCCAACUCUCCUAAGGAUGCAAUCAGAGCUUCGGGUUUCAGGAAGCAAAUGAAAAACGAAGUGCGUUUUCAUCCCCCACCCUUUCUACGAUCGUCGACACGUGCACGAGAGAAGCGGUGGCAAUUUCGUAAAUAAAUCAAAAUUUUCAAUCUGAAACGGAAAGGGUGGUGGCAAUUUUGUAAAUAACUCAAAAUCCACCCCAAGUCACUGUUCAUUUGUACAGUGCAAUUUCUUCUUCUUCUUCUUUUUUUUUUUUUUGGACAAAGGCUUACUUUAUUUAUUGGGUAAAUAUCAGUUUACUACUCUCAAGUUUCGUGGUUUUCAACAUUUGGUAUAUGAAGUUUUUUUCGUCUCAGAGUCAUACCUAAAGUGUUAAUUUUGGGACAGUCUCCUACAUCUGUUAGUUUAACUAUUAAAUCAGCAGUUAACUGAUGACGUGGCACCAUGUAGACAAUGACUGGGCGCCACGUGUCAAUAUAACGCCCACGUGAAUAUUAAAAAAUUUAAAAUUAAAAAAAAAAUCUAGGCACCCACCCAUUCUCCUUCCCCCCCUCCCUCUCCCUUCUUCUCCCUCCCUUCUCUUCCAUGCACCCAUCGUCCCCGCACACCCACUCAUUCCCCUUAUUCUCCCUCCAUUCUCUCCUCUGCACCCACCCACCUCGCACACCCACCCACCUAAAAUCAAACCACAUAAAAAAACACAAAUUUCCCCCCAAAAUUUCUUACCAUCCAAAUACCCUCUGCUUCCCCCUUUCUCUCUCCUAGGUUUUAUUUGUAUCCCUUACAUCCCACACUUUCUCGCGCUUUCCCGGAAAAAUUUUCAUCUUCAAAUCUUCAACAUGAGGCAAUAGAAAGGUAUGCCGCCUUAUUGGGACCCGCCAACUCCGUUCGUCGAGCUUUCAAAUGAUUCAAAUCGCAGCUGGUUUGGAGAAAGAGAUCGCUAUGAUGAACAGCGAUUUUGGAUUGGAUGGAAAAUCGGAUGCCACUGGAGAGGCUGAGGAAGCUAGAGCUCCGGUUUCCUAAGGCGCGUAGGUAAAGAUGGAGCUAGGUUUUGCCAAUGAAGCUUGAUUCGGGAAGUAAGGUUGGCGGAAGAUCUGAGGAUGAUAGGGCUAGGGUUGGUACAGAGAGUGAAGUUGGAAAUGUAGAUAAAGUGAUGGAAUCGAAUGGUUUUGGAAGCAUGGUGGCAGAGUAAAGGGUCACUCGGGUCUCAUAGGGUUGGAGAGAGAGAGAGAGAGGGCGGAUGGGUGGGUGUGCAAUGUGAGUGGGUGUGCAGGGAGGGUGAGUGCAGAGGAGAGAAUUGAGGGAAAAUGAGGGGAAUAGGUGAGGUGUGCGGCCAGGAUGGGUGCAGGGAAGAGAAGGGAGAUAUGAGGUCGGAAAUGAGGGGGAAUGGGUGGGUGCCCAGAAUUUUUUUUAUAAUUUAUAAUUUAUAAUUUUUUUAAUAUUCACGUGGACCCCAUAUUGACACGCGGCGCCCUAGUCAUUUUUCACAUGGGUGCCACGUCAUCAGUUAACGGUUGAUUUAACAGUCUAACUAACAGAUGUAUAAGAAUGUUCCAAAAUUAACACUAUAAGUAUGACUCUAGGACGAAAAAAAACUUCAUAUACCAAAUGUUGAAAACCACGAAACUUGAGGGUAGUAAAUUGAUAUUUACCCUUAUUUAUAACACAACAUAUUACAUUAUAGAAGGCUCAAAUACAAGAAAUACACAAACAAAAAGAUGAACCUCUAUAGUAACCUAACAGCCCAAAACAUAGUUUUGAGGCCUGAACAGGAAAAACACCAAAGUAAACCCUAGCAGCUUCCUACCUCCGCCGUCAACCCGCUUACCAAACAAACAGCCUCUGCAACCAUCACAAAUCAACAGAACUAAAACCCCAAAGCUGGAUGAAAACGUAUGAAAACAAGACCCCAAAACAGAGCCCCAAACUCUUCCACAGUAGACCAUAACAGUAGCUGACACAAAUUGAAGGAAGCUAGCGGGACAAAACCUAUUAGCAUAGUGGCAACAAAGGCAAACCAAAGGAAGGAGGUGGUGUGAACACUCGAACAAAAGCUUUACUCACCUUCCAGGAGAAGCGUGAAAAAUCACGUUGAAAAAAAGUGGGAGCCAAGCCGAACUGUGAAGUCGGAGAAGGAUAAAGCCGAUCCAGAUUGGGGAACGUGGGGGAAAAUGUAACACCCACCCCCAUUUAUAAAAAUAUAAUUAUGUAAUUACCCCCAAAAUAUUAUGAAUCUAUCAAUUUUGGUCCUUUUUUACUACCAAUGAAAAUCUGAAAACAUUGGAUUCUUUCUUCCUCAAGCUGCCACGUGGCAGCACCCCCUUCACUCCUCUCACUUCUCUCUCUGUCCCCCCCCCCGUGAUCCCCUUCCUUAUUCUUCUUCUUUUUUGUCUGUCCCGUCUCUCUCCCUCUCGGAUAUCUCUCAUUUCUCUCUCUCAUCUCUCUCAUCUUUCUCAUCUCUGCACUGUGAACCCACACACACGCACACCAUCGCACAUGCUCGAAGUAGACACCCAUCACCAUCGCGUCCUGUUCUCUCUCUCUCGUUUCCGCCAACCCAAAAAACCAAAAAAAUGAGCUCCGGCGAGAUUUUUCAAUCUCAGGUUAGGUAAGCGCCAAAUCUUCCCUUUUUCGUCCUAGAAUCUGGUGAAAUGUGGUUUAAUGGAGUUUAUUUCGUUAUUUUUGGAGGUUUUUAGGACGAAUCGAACUCGGGUGUAGGAACACCCAUUUCCGGCGAGCUGUGGGUGUCGGGGGAGAUUCCGACCAUCUUCGGCCGUUCCACGACGAAAUGAAGGUAUAGAAUUACUCCAUUCGUCUUACUCUUCGUUUUGGUACCUAGAUUAGAGUCUAGGGUUGUGUUUGGUGGUCGGCCGGAGCUGUUGAAGCUCCGAUGUUUGUUCUCCUGCGAGACCAGGCCUCCUAGGCCGGUUCCAAGUCAAGCAGGCCUUAGGCCCGUGUGGGGAGUCAAGCCCAAAAUCCUAACCCAAUUUCCUUUUUAUUGUUUUUAUUUAAUUGUUAUUUGUUUUAAGACCCUAAAGGCCUUCGGGCCGAUAAGUUGAAGGCUUGAAGCCCGUGACCCAACCCAAAACCCUUUUUAGGUUUUGUUAUUUUUCUGAUUUAGAAAGAAGGCCUUGGGCCAAUUAGAAAGUGGGUUUUUAGCCCUUUCCCUUUUAAACCCUUUAACCUUAGUUAAGCCCAAAACCCUUAAGGCCCUUAAGGCCCUUUCGGCCCAACCCAAAACCAAAGCCCAGUCUGACCUUUGACAGUUUGACCGUUGACUUUGACUUUGACCGGUCAACGGUCAGCGUUGACUUUUUGAGUUGACUUUUCGGGGUUUCAGGGCCUUUCCUAGGCUAAUUUCGACGUCCUGGACCCGUUUUUGAAGUCUAUUUUCCCAAAUUCAAUCGUUUGAAUAGAGUUUGACUAAAGGUACUCCUUUAUGUGAUUAAGUGCAAUUACUAACGGUGAUUCCGUUAUUCCUUGUUGGUAUAGCUUUGCACCAUCGGUGUAAGGUGAGUGGACCCCUUCUAAAAUGCAUGUUUUAAUAGUAGAAAUGCAUACAUGAAAAACAUGAUUUGAUGAUUACGUUUUAUGAAACGUUUUGUGAGAUAACAUGCUUACUGAUGCUACUUUGAAUUAUUACUAUUUUUCCUAUAACCCGUGUUCUUAUAGAAUAUCUGAUGGAUGACGAUAUGAUAUUUAGAACAUGUUUCGAACACCUCUUUAUAGUAUAGAUGAUGAAUGACUUUAUACUAUGAAGUUGCCUUUCAACAUAUAUAUGUUCAAUGGUUUUGUACUUACCUAGUGGUCCUUUACGCUACGGGAUGUAGGGAUAGAUUCCGGUCCGUCCCAGACGACGAUUUGGUGUUAGCAUAGGGCCUGGAGUGUGUUUUCUCUGGCUAUUUAGCACAAGGACGGGGAGCCGGCAUGGGGCCUGGGGGUUAUCAGACAAUUCACUAAUAAUUAUUAUAUAUACAAGUUAUGAUUUGAGACACUGCACGACAUGCUAGGUUUCGGAAAACCUAUGUUGAUCAUUAUAUAUGUGUUUUCAUAAAACCUGGGGGUUAGUACGUUGAUAACUGUUUUACUAUUUAUAUAUCAAAUUGGUCCACUCAUGUUUGUUUUGCGCCCCCUUCAGGGCUUAGAAUCGAGGCAUACAAUCCCAAUGUCAAGGCACUUCCACAUUGGCAUCUUCGAGUCUUCUUGGUGUAAGAUCCAUUUUUUUAUUCAUUCAAUUUUAUAUUAUUUCUUUUAGUAUUCUAGUUAGUUGUAUGCUCUGAACACGUUCCUUAAAUGCAUAUUCCUCAUUCUUUUACAAUUAUAAGUUUUAUCUAUUCCUUGUUUUCAGCAUUUGCACUAAAUAAAUGGCUUUCGUCACCCUUGAGUGUCGGCCAGCACGUGCCUAUCCUGGUAUUCGGGGAAUAUCGGGGUCGGGGAAUAUCGGGGUCAGGGAAUAUCGGGGUCGGGGCAUGUCAGAAAAGAGGGGGAAAAGGUGGAAGGAAGACAAAAGGAAACAGAAGGAAAAGGCGGAAGAAAAGAAUGAAAGGGAGAAAUUGAAAAAUAGAGUAAAAACAGAGAUAACAGAUGUAGAGGGGUUUGAGUGGCAAACAGGCCACUGGGCGGGGGUAGAAGGAAGACAAAGGAGGAUGAAAAUCAACAAGAGAAGAAAAUAGAAGAAGAAAAGGAAAAUAGAAGAACAUAGCAGAGAAGGGGAAAAUAGAAGAACAUAGCAGAGAAGGGGAAAAUAGAAGAAAACAGAAGAAGAAAAUGAAAAGUGGCAACCAACUCCAGCCGAAGCCGGAGUCGAUGCUUGAGAAGGUGGACAAGUUGAAGACCCUCACCAAAGGGGGAAAGAAAACUCUCACAGAGGAAAGAAGGUCUCUCACGGAAUGAGAGAUUCACUUCUUCCCCUUCUUUAGAUUAAAGUAAUUUGGUGUCCAUUGGUUUCUCAAGUGGAGAUGAGGGAGAGAGAGAUCGAGUUGGGAGUUUGGGAGAUGAGGAGGGUAGGAUUGCCAUAUUGAAAAUUUCAUUAAUGACUACGGUUAACCUGUGUUAUAAAAUAGCUGGUUUUUUUAAGGGAGUUUUAACGAAACACUUCCGGUAUUGUUCACUUAAAUGAAAACGACAAUUUUACUUUAAAAAGUCACUUUGACACUAUUCACUUACAACACUUUUUUGUCAUUUCGAUUAAAGCUUAAAAUUUUCAAGCCAUUAUCAUUAGUUUUCCUAUUUUAAAAAACAUCUAUGAGAGAUGCUUUUAAUAGAAAUUUCCAAGGCCUAACUUUGAAUAUAAUAUUCCAGAUGAAAUAAGUCGUUUCUGCCAGGUGUUGACAUGUGUCAUGUUUGAUGACUUUUCCAACUUAUUUAGAUUUUUUGUUUAGACACACGCUACGCGUAAAAUUUAUGUAAUACAUGAGCGUUGAAACUUUGAUUUAUCGGUCAACAUUUAUUUACUGAAAUUUCGAUGUCUACAGAAACACUUAAAAUAAUUGCAAGAGUACAAGGUAGUUGUAGUAUAGCAGCUCAAACAAAGUCGUUCUCCACAGGGAUUGAAUGAAUAAUUUAUAUUUAAACUAAUCCUUAGCUAAUUAUUUGUAACAAAGUUUCGAAAAUGUCGAUUUUGGAAUUUAAAAUAAUAAAAACAAUUAAAUAAUUUGCAAAGUAAAAUGAACUAAAAAGAAAACGAUUUUAAAAAUCAAUUUAAGCACUAAAGUUCCGCCGUCACCAUUAACAAUCCUAUGCAAUUUUAUGAAUUACAUAUGAAAUUCUACAUACAUGCUUUGAAGGUUAGGUUUUCCUAAUAUAUAUUUUCCUCGUGAUGUUUGAGCGAAAACGUAUAUCUAACAUGCAACUCAUCUGUGAUGUUCAAAUCAAAUAUAAACAUGCAAGCCUCAUUAAGUUUUGUGAAAACCUUUUGAAAAACCAAGCAACCCUUAAGAGCGUGAUGUUCACCUUAACUGAACGUACAAUUACUAAUCACAAGAAGCCAUCCUCAAUUUCAAGGUGAUGUUCCAACAUAAAUUGCAUUAAAUUACUUGUCUAAAUACCCUAAUGGUCGCAAAUCACUAAGACAAUUAGAUAGUUUAAACACGAUAAUUAAUAAUUCAAAGCAAUCAUACAUUCAUUCAUAAGCAAAUUAAUAAAAUCACAUAUUCAUGUUAAGACUCAUGGUCUCGCCCUAGCAAAAAGACUAGUUUCACAUAAUCAUAAUAAAAACUAAAGAAAAUAUCAUUAACUAGAAAAAUAAAUGAAAACACCUUGUAGGUAAAAAAUCUGAAAUUUCCUAAAAUAAUGCGUCUCUCCAAUCCUAAUGGCUAAAUAACCUUAAUUGUACUACUAGAAAAAGUCUUCUAAAAACUAGGAAACAUAAUAGAAUAAGAUAACUUGAAAAUACAUUCAUAUUUUAACUUUGGAAAAUCUGUCCAUCCACAAAGAAUCCCACAUUUCUGCAUCUUUAGGGCUCCAAAACAGGCCCAAAACAACUUGAAUUAAAGAUUAAGACGUCAUUUUCAAGUUCCAAGAAGAUCACAAGUCCAAAAUUCAUCAUCUUGUAGCCCAAAAAGUCGCAAGUAAGCUCUAUAGUCCGAUUUGCCAGCAUUGCGUGCUGGUAUAAAUUAAUUCGCCGAGAUCAGAUGCUUAAGGAUAAAAUUACGAAAUUUUGAACAACCUUCUUGACAGAAUCACGAACCCACUUCAAUUGGAAUCACUCAAAAAUUUCACCAUUUGAUUACUUAAUGCUCAGAACAAGUUCGCACGUCCUACAUUGAAAAUAAUACAAAGCAUCAACAUUUCACCAAAAUAAUAACCAAAAUAUACCAAGAAUGGGAGCAAAUAUAUAGUAUAAAAUCAAGGGAGACUUUGGAUGUGGUCCCUAGUUAUGAACAGUCUUUGACUGAAACCUUGUUGGUUUUCAAUUUUUGAUCCAAGUCCCUGAAAUUAAUUGAUAAUUUAUUUCUAUGUACAUUACUAUAUUUUUAAAUUAAAAAUUAAAAUUUAUAGUUGUUUAUAGUAAUGAGAUUUUAAAUAAAAAACCAUAAUUUGUGGGAUUAAAAAUAUUAAAAUAUAAAUAUACUAUUGUGUGUGUGUGUGUAAACAUGGGUACAUUCAUAAAAAAUAACCAAAAAAUUAUUGUAUCAAAACAUGGGUACAUUCUUCAAAAUAGGUACAUUUAGCAAAAAUAAAAAUGGGUACAAAUAAAUAAAAAAGUAUGGGUACAAUACAAAUAAAACUUUAAAAAAUAUGGACACAAAAAGAAAUUAAUAUAUGGGUACAAAUUAAAACUGAAAGGAAAAUUGGUACAAAUUAAAAAAGGGUUGCAAAUUAAAAUGGGUACAAAUUAAAAAAAAAAUAUGAUAAAAAAUUUAGCCAUAAAUAUAAAUAUACUAAUUGUAACAUUUUUAAUAUUAAAUGAAUAUAUUUAGAAAUAAAAAAUAUUUUAUUAUUGAAAUAAUUAAUGAUAUUAUUAAUACAAAGGACCUUGAUCAAAAAUUGAAAAGUAAUAAGGUUUUAAUCAAUAGAGUAGUAAAAAUAGGGAUGAAAACCUAAUUACUCCUAAAAUGAACUCAUCAGUUACCACUAGAAUAAUGUAAUAGACGACAUGUGCUAUACACACUAAUUAAUUUGGUCAUUAUACUACACAUUUAAGCUAAAAACCGUAGUAUAACAGCAUACGAAAUGUUAUAAAGUGAUGGAUAUAUCUAAUACAUGACAGUAAUACACAAAGGUUGUUUGGUAAUAGCCGUUGUCGGAUGCAAAUAUGUAUGACGGUGAAAAAAAUCGUUGUGGAUUAACUUUAUACUAUGACACACUUGAGCACAACAAUUUUGUGAACGACGGUAUUUCACCGUCGUCCAGUUACUUUUUUUUUUAUGAUUAUAAAUCUUGAUUCCACUGGUUUUGGAAUGGUAACGAUGAUCUAGUAGAAAAUUGGAAAGUAAUGUAGUUACAUUUUGUUAGAACCAAAAAGGAUGGCAAAGAGCUUUUGUAAAAGCAGUCUGAUUACAGUUGUAAACUGGGAGAAUUCUUAUUGAAUUGAAAUAACAUUUAUGGUUAUUAAAUAGCCUUACAAUGAAAUAGGAAAGGAAACAACAACCCACGAUUUUACAGGGCUUAGAAUCUGUUAAACAUUAAAGUUGAUAUUUUGGAGAAUCUAAAUAGCCAUGUAUUUUUUGUUUUUUGUUUGUAUGUGCUGGCAGUGUCUAGAAUUAUCUUUUUGGGUAUUAUUUAUUAGGUCCAGCUUUAUUGUCUCUUAAAGAGAAAAAGAGGAGUCUUUAGAAAGAAACGAAAAGUCACUAGUUGUGCCUUUCCUCCUCCCUGUACCAGAUCUUUUUUGUGUGUGCAGAAAAUAGAAGUUGGAGUAUUUUUUUAUUCAUCUCUUUAGCUUGUUCUUCUUUACAUCUUUGUGUGUUGAUCUUGGGCUAGUGUAUUGUAUUACACUAUUGUUGUUAUUUACAGAAUCGUGGUGCAUGACUAAGUCAGAAAUGGAAAAACAAUCUUGUCCCUCAAGUAUAAGAGGGAUUAUAUGUAGGGCUGGAAAAAAAUCCCAAAAAUCCCAAACCAAACCAAAAAAAUCCCGAUCCCAAACCAAAAAAAUCCCAAACCAAAAUUCCCGAAAUUUUCAGGAUGUCAUCCCGAACCAAACCGAAAUUUUCGGUAUGGGAUUCGGUACUGCAUCUCCAUUUUUCGGUAUUCCCAUACCGAACCGAAAAAAAAUUAUAUAUAUAUUAUUUUUUAAUUGUAAGAGAAUUAUUUCAACCAUUGAUUAUUUUGGAUUUAAUAUGUGCCGUUGAUUUGUUUUUAGGUCAGAUCCAAAUGGUACUCUACUCUUUCCGUUCAUUUGUUUCCAUCCAUUGAAGUCUCGAAACGCAGCCCUCCCUCACCGAGCCCUCAUCUCUCAUCUAAUCUCUCAUCGAACUCGAAGUCACUCUCACGGUCUCACCUCACCCCAAAUUAGGUAAUUAAUUUAGUGUUUUGAAACCUAAUUUAUGUCUUCCUUUUGAAAUUUAAUUUAGGGUUUGAAUCUUGAAUCUUAAUUUCUGUCUUCGUUUUGAAACCUAAUUUCAAUCUUGAAUCUUCCCUUACUGGUUUCAAUUUUGAAGAGUGAAUGUUUUUAUGCGCUGCAUGUUUGCAGGAUUACCAGAUUGCUGCGGCUACCAGGAUUACCAGGUUUAUGCGCUGCAUGUUUUUUGCAAGUCUCAUCCUCUCCCAAAUGAAAUUGGUAUGUAGAAGGGAUGUAUGGGGAGAAAAUGCAAUAUCUUUCGAUGUUUGAAUAAAUACGACAAAAAAUUUGAUUGAGUAUCAGUGAAAAGCUUGCAGUAGGAUCAUCUUCAGAUUGUGAAUAUGUGUGUUCUACGUUUAAAUACUCUAUUGAGUCCCAACUGCUUACCUGUACAUAAUGCAUUAUGCAGUGGCUCCCCAGAGACAGAGCAUUGUGGAUGGAAUGAGGAUGAUAGCACUCAAACUUGAAUUUGGUGUAUCCCACAAUCAGAUAUUUGAGAGGUAUUUUUCUUUUAUUUUGUUCUACUUUUUGUUCUUAUCUUUCAAAAUUGUAGAUGUCUUUUAUUGAUUAUUAAUUUGUGCAGGACCCUAGCAGUGCAUUUUACAGAUCCUUUCCAUGUGAGCAAACGGGUUGCAGAUAAAUGCAAUGAUGGUACUUUGCUUCUCUAGGUAUGUGUGAUAUGGUUUUCAAAACUACACUUCUGUAUGUAACUUUACUUAUGCAUCCCUGGCUAGGUGAUUAGAUAAUAAGACGUGAAGUGUGUGACAUCCUAUUCCUAUGUGUUGAAACAUGGAAAUUGUUUCUGUUUCACCAGAUGGAUAUUAAUCACUUACUUUCUGAUGCAGGGUGUUGAUCCAAGUAUUCGAGCUGAAGUGUGGCCGUUUCUUCUUGGAGUGUAAGUAUUUUCAUAUCUAUGCGAUUGCUUUAAUGCUUCAAGUUUUGUAUGUGUUAUAUGAAAAUUAGUUAGUAUACGAUUUUCAAAUUUUCACCCUGGUUUUUAUUUGCUUUGUAGUUCAAAUACACGAUAUAUGCUCAGAUUUUUCUAUGUUGAAUGCUCAGAUUUUAUUUGCUUUGUAGUUCAAAUACACGAUAUAUGCUCAGAUUUUUCCAUGUUGAAUGCUCAGAUUAUUGAUUGGAAUUUGGAUAUAUGCUGAACUGUGGUUGUGAUAUAUAUUAAUGUGCAUUGUUAUUUUAUUUGUUAAGUAGGAUGAACGGGUCUAGUAGCCAAUCUAGUGCACAUAUGGUCUCGGUAUUAGGGGCCGAAGAGGCCAACAAUCUUCAUAAAUUUUAGGCUUUGUUUUUUUGCUUUUGGUUUGUAACUUAAUUAUUGAAACUUUGGCUUGGAACUAAUUUUUUUGCUUUUGAGUUUGUUACUUUAUUUAUUUUAAAACCUUGACUUGUAACUAAUAUUUUUGCUUUUCGAUUUGACUUGUUGUACGUCACUAUGGGCUGUUGAAUAUAUUUGGCAAAUUGCUUUAAAAUAGAUUUGUACACAGAUUUGACAUGUGUAGUAGAAAUAAAAUUGUUUUUUGUUGAAUUAGGUUAAGCCCAUAUGGGCUGUUGAAUUGAGUGACUAUACAAUUGGACAUAUUCAUUACUAGGCUGGGUGGACAGAUUUUGGGCAUGGCCCAAUAUUGGCUUUUUGUCCAAAAGCCCAAAACCAUUUCGGGAUUCCCGAUUUGUCCCGAAAUCACGAAACUAUUUUGGGAUUCCCGAAAAUUUGGUUUGGGAUCGGUAUUGAAAUUGAGAUUCCCGAAAAUUUUGGUUUGGGAAUCGGGACAAGGGUUUCGGUAUGGGAUCCCAUACCGAACCACCUCUAAUUAUAUGCAUGACUUGAAUCAAACCCUAAAAACAAGGAACCCUAACCCUAAUGGGUAGGAAGUCCCAACAACUUUAACAUCAUCCAUUAAGCUGAAUGUCAUUGGCAAUCAAUUGAUUCCAGGGUAUUCGCAAACACCCAUUCAACCUCGCAUCUUCGAAAACAUUUCAAGCUACAAUGGUUUUGUCAAGAUAUCUACAAUUUGCUCCUGAGUAGAACACUAUAUUAGCUCCACUACUUCAUCUUGGACAAGAUCACGAAGAAAAUGAAUAUGGACAUCUAUGUGCUUGCUACGGCCAUGCAUCACUGGAUUCUUCGAGAGUUUGAUGGCUGAAGUACACUACCGUAGGAUUGGAUUGCACAUGAUUUAGAAUUUUCAAAAUUCUUCUCUGGCACACAACUUCAUACACACUUGAUGCUGCAACAAUAAACUCUGCUUCUAUGGUGGAAAGAGUAACUAUGGGCUGUUUCUUUGAAGACCAAGACACUGCACCCGAAUUCAUCAUAAAAACAUAACUUGAAGUGCUCUUUUUGUCAUACUGAUAUCCAGAAUAAGCGUUGUCUAUGUAGCCAAAGAGCUCUUCAUCUCCUCAUUUCUUAAAGACACCCCAAAGCUAGUUGUGCUCUUCACAUACCUUAGAACUCUUUUUGCUGCCAUCAAAUGAGUCUAUGUGGGACGUUCCAUGUACAUACUAGUUAAGCUUACAACAAACAUUAAAUCAGGACAUGUGGCAGCUAGAUACAUAAGAUUUCCCACCAUCUACUUGUAAACCUUGUCAUCGACUCCCACUCAUUAUUCAUCCCUUGUAAGCUUAAACCCAAAAACCACUAGAUUGUGCACUGAGUUGCACUAGUCCAUAUUAAAUCUCUCCACAAGUUCUUGAGCGUACUUCUGUUAGCUAAUAAAGAUGUUAUCUAAUAUUUGCAACACUUCAAUGCCAAGGAAAUAUCUCAUUUUCUUGAGAUUAGUCAUAUAAAAUUCAACCAUCGUGGACUUCUUAAAUUGUUCGAACAUAACUUCAUCAUUGCCAGUAAAUAUAAGAUCAUCAACAUAAAGACACUUUCAAUAAUUUACCUCCAUCCGUUGUUUUAAUGAACAGAGUAUGCUCGUAGGACAUUUGUUGAAGCCUUCCUUAACAAAGUAUGACUCUAUACGACUGUACUAGGCUCAGGGAGCCUGUUGAGUUCAUACAAAGCCUUCUUGAGCAAAUAGACCUUGGAUUUAUUCCCCUUUUGUUCAUAACCAGGAGGUUGAUCGACAAACACCUUUUCAUUAAUUUCUCCAUGCAGAAAGGCUGAUUUGACAUCAAGUUGGUAAAUCAACCAACUUUUCUGAGUAGCAAGGGAAAGUACAAUUCGAAUUGUAUCCAAGUGAGCCACUGGUGUGAACACUUCAGCAUAAUCUACCCAUAUUGUUAGAUGUAUCCCUUAGCGAAUAGCCAUGCCUUAUACUUGUCGACUUCCCUAUGCUCAUUGAGUUUUGUUUCAAGACCCACUUCACUUCAAUGGUUUUUGCCCUAAUGGUAGAUUCGUUAGUUCUCACAUCUCAUUCCUCUUUAUAGCUUCAAUUUCUUGAUCCAUAGCUUACCUCCAUUUUUCACAAUAUCCUCAAAUGUCUAGGGAUAACUGUCAGUGAACAAAGCUAGAUGAGCUAUGUUUACACCUUCUUCAUCAAAGAAACCUUGACCAGUUUCAUAAUCUCCCAUCCACACUGGUGGUCUUCGUGUUCGUCCUUUUGUGAGGUGAGUUGUCAUUAUUCAAGGUGUCUUCUUCUUCUAAAAAGUCACUGCUAUCAGUCCUACCGUCCUCCAAUUCUUCAUUAGCUUUAGACUCAUCUCCAUUGCCUUUAUCUUUUAUACUUGCUUAUUCGUUAGUUUCCCAUUCAAGAUCAGCCAAUAUGGCUUGCUUGUGACUGCAUCCAUACUCCAUUUUUUAUCUUCCUUAAAGACCACAUCUCGGUUUACAAUUAUUUUGUGAAAUGGGAUCAAUCUGCCUGUAAGCUUUAGACUCUUCACUUACUCCAAGUAAUAUGCAUUUGAGACUCUUGGCAUCAAGCUCCACUCUCUUGUUGUCAGGUAUAUGAGCAUGGAUAUGCAUCCAAAGAUUCUGAAAUGCUCCACUAAUGGUUUAAGUCCGCUCCAACCUUUUUAGGUAUUUCUCUCUUCACAGCAAGGGUCCGACUUCUAUUCAGCACAUGAACCAUCCAGUUUACAGCUUCAUACCAAUAAGUUUUAGAAAUUUUCUUCUCAGGCGACAUGCUUUGUACCAUAUUCAUAAUGGUUCGAUUUUUCCUCUCGGCAACACCGUUUUGUUAGGGAGUAUAUGUAGUCGUCAAUUGCAUGUGUAUUCCAUUCUUAUUACAGAAGUUUGUGAAUUCUUAUAAUGUGAACUCGCUCUCACGAUCUGUUCUAAAACUCUGUAUGAAUGCUCUAGUUUCAUUCUCGACCCUGGCUUUGUAGGUUUUGAAUGUGGCAAAGGCUUCUGAUUUUUCUACCAAGAAAUAAACCCAAGUUUUUCUACUGAAAUUGUUAAUAAAGGUGAUGAGAUACCUUUUCUUGCUGUUCGAGAUUGGAUUUAUCAAACCAUAUAUAUCAGCAUGCACCAAUUGAAGAAUUUUGAAGGCUCUCUAUAUACUUUCCUUUGGGAAUGGAUCAUGGUGUUGUCUUCCCACCAAACAGUCUUCACAUAUUCUCUAAGUAGCUUUGAACUGAGGUUACCCUUCAAUCAUCUUCUUUUGUUGAAGUACUUUGAGUCCAUUCCAGCUAAAAUGUCCAUAUUGACAGUGCUAAAGCAUGGCUUGAUUUGUGGUCUGUGAGGAGAAAUAUUUUUGCUCUCUUAGUGGACAGCGAGCAAGCACAUCAAGCAAACAUUCUAUUAUAUGUUAUCUCAGGAUGAAAGAUCUUACAUUUUCCAUGUUGAAUAAGCACAACGAGUCUCUUCUCUUGUAGUUGCUCGAUGCUUAACAAGUUGUUCUUCAGUUCUGGUACAAAGAAGACUCAUGUGAUCACAUGUGCAAUCUCAUUCACCUUUAUUUGAACCUUGCCUUUACUUCGUACAAUAAGGCUCGAGUCAUUUCUCAGCUUCACAGACUCUCUGAAAUUUCUAUCAAAUUCAAAAAAUAUGUCUCUUUUGCCACACAUAUGGUUGCUAUACCCAGAAUCAAGGAACCAAAUGUUCUCUACUUCAUCUUUUUUAAAGUCCACAUGGACCAUCAACAACAUCUCUUCUUUUGUUUCUGCGUAGUUUGCCUUUGGAUCCCUUGCUUUCCUUGGACACGUCCACUGAAAAUGCCCUAACUCAUGACAAUUAUAGAUUGUAAUGUAGAUUUCUCAAACUCAAAUCUACCUCUACCUCUUCCUCUUCCUCUUCCUUUUCCUCUUCCUCUUCCACGAUAAGUACUUUGACCUCCACAUUUUCCUCCUUGCUAAGCUACAUAAGUGACUUGCAGUGCUUGUUCAUCCGGCUGAUUCUUUGUUCAUGCACCAACAGGUUACUCUGAAGCUCGUCUAUAGACAAGGUUCAUUCGAUUCCUCAAUCAAACACACAACAUAAUCAUAUUUUGAAGUCAUAGACCUCAAGAUCUUCUCAGUGAUCACCACAUCCUCCAUUUUCUCUCUGUGAACCUCAUUUUAUUAGCUAUGAUGAGAGUUCUUCCAAAGUAGUCAUUGACUUAUUCCCCAGCGUUUAUGUGUAUCACUUUAAACUCUUCACAAAGAGCUUGCAAUUGGGCACACUUGACACAUGCCGUUCCUUGAUAUUUCUGCUUCAAAGAAUCUCAUAUAUCCUUCGCGGUAUCCUUCUUCAAGCACCACCACCUAACAAUCUUCAUCUCAAAUCCUAGGCUUGGACGAGAUCCUUCUCUCUUCCUUUUUCUUUUCCUUUGCACAGUAGUGCCUUUACUAUGCAUCCCUUUCUUUGGCAAGUUAUCACCGUUUUCGGCGAAGGUAAGCCACGAACUCCUUCGAUCUUCCUCCCUCGUGGUCUAAAGUAUUUGUUUGAUGAUAAAUAAUGACUUUGGUGAAUGGUUUAAUCACAAAAACUGCUAUGGGAAUUUUUUUCCAUAUUCGGGGAAGUGGGAGACCGUGACUGUUUCGCCACUUUCAAGCCAUUUUUCAAGCCAGCUCCGAUCCUCAUUGGGCCUCGAAAGGGUAUAAAUCUCUUCCCUACAUUUCUAACUUUACAUAGGAUCUUGAAUCACUUGAUUUGUGGUUGUAUCGAGCUCGGAAUUAGCUCUGGGAGUUAAAUGAGAAACCUGCAAAAAUUGCAGAAAUUGUGAGAUCCCACAUUGGCCAGGGGAGUGGAUCAUCUAUGCCUUAUAUGUACAUUCUCACCUCUAAUUGGCACGAGGCUUUUUGGGUGCUCACUGGUUUCAGGUUUCAUCGAAACUCCGAAGUAAAGCGAGUUCGCGCGAGAGCAUUCCCAUGAUGGGUGACCCACUGGGAAGUUCUCAUGUGAGUUCCCAAAAAAAAACUGUAAGGGCGUGGUCGAGGCCCAAAGCAAACAAUAUCGUGCUACGGCGGAGGUGGGGCCGGGGAUGUGGUGAGAGCCCGGGUCGGGAUGUGAAAAUUUGGUAUCAAAGCCAAUCCCUGGCCGGAAGGGUGCCGACGAGGACGUCAAGCCCCUAAAGGGGGUGGAUUGUGAGAUCCUACAUCGCCCAGGGGAGUAGAUCCUAUAUGCCUUAAAUGUACAUUCCCACCUCUAAUUAGCAAGAGGCCUUUUGUAAGCUCACUGGCUUCGGGUUCUAUCAAAACUCGGAAGUUAAGUUAGUUCGUGCGAGAGCAUUCUCAUGAUGGGUGACCCACUGAGAAGUUCUCGUGUGAGUUCCCAAAAACAAAACCGUGAGGGCGUGGUCGGGGCCCAAAGCAAACAAUAUCAUGCUACGGCGGAGGCGGGACCCGGGAUGUGGUGGAGGCUCGGGUCAGGAUGUGAAAAUUUGGUAUCCAAACCAAUCGCUAGCUGGAAGGGUGCCAACGAGGACGUCGGGCCCCUAAGGGGGGUGGAUUGUGAGAUCCCACAUCGCUCAGGGGAGUGGAUCCUCUAUGCCUUAUAUGUACAUUCCCACCUCUAAUUAGCACGAGACCUUUUGGGAGCUCACUGACUUCGAGUUCUAUCGGAACUCCGAAGUUAAGCGAGUUCGCGCGAUAGCAUUCCCAUGAUGGGUGACCCAUUGGGAAGUUCUCAUGUGAAUUCCCAGAAACAAAACUAUAAGGGCGUGGUCGGGGCCCAAAACGGACAAUAUCGUGCUACGGCGAAGGUAGGGUCAGAGAUGUGGUAGGGGCCCUGGUCGGGAUGUGACAUAAGGCGAGUAUAGCGUACUCGUGGGCUCGUGAAGCACACGGGCCUCCACUAGGGGUACUAUGGAUGGCGUUGCCGAUGAUUUUUCCGGCCAACUUUCUAGUAACCCAACUUAGCACGUGGUGACUCGGGCCGUCACCCCGUGGCGGCGCAUGCGAUGGCGAGUAGGGAAACCCAAGGUCUUUCCUUUGGUUUUUCGACAUGCCAAAUUUGAAUCUGCCAUUCGUUUUACCAAAGUUUGUCGUUUUAGUAGAGUUUUAACAAAUGGUCCCUAAUUGUGUUUAGGUGCGUUGGUUUGAAGUGAUCCCAUCCUUCGUAGUUCGAAUGGCUCUUCGGUAGCAUAAUAUUUGUGAGUGGACCCCUUCUCAAAUUACAUGUUUUUAUAAAAAUAUUAGGCUUGCAUUCAUGGAAGGCAUAUAUUUAUAAUUCUACAUUUCAUGAAUUAAUUAUGUUUUAUGAUAAGUUUAUGAAUUUCUAAAUUUAUGUUUUACGAAGAAUUUAUGAUUUAUUUAAUUUGUUUUUUGAAGUAUUUACGAUUUAUCAGUUUAAGGUUUAUGAAAUUUUAUGCUUAUGAAAAUCAUGUUUAUGGAAAUGCUUAUGAUUUCUGAUGAUGAUGUUUUGAGCCCUAAGCUUUGGUAUGAGAUUUUGAAUUACAUUUUAUGUGCUUAAUUAGUGGGUAAUCAUACAACAUAUACACACAACACGAGUAUGUAUACGUUUAUGGCCAUAGGACACAAUGGAGGAAUAGUGAGAUAUUUACAACAUACUCCUAACUUCACUGGCGAAACCAAUGUCGGACAGCUUCACCUUUGAGUGAUGGGACCUACCAUGUUUCUUCACUGGCGUAACCCAGUGUCGUACAACUUCACCCUCAGGUGAUGGAUAUGCAUUCGAGCAACUACGAUGCCCCUAUAUAAGUACAUUAGUAUUUUGAUUUACGAGCUCUUUUAGUUUUGUCUUUGGGCGAUUUCAAUACCACUUUUAGAUAUGAUUUUAUUAUCUAUGAACGUUUUCGUGGCAUGUAGAGUUUCGGGAAAAACCUAUUACGUAUUAUUAUAUUGUUUUCAAAACGGGGGGUUAGUAUGUGCAAAAAGAAAACGGUUUUCUUAUUAUUACUAUUAUUAUAAACUCUGGUCCACUAACCUUUUGUUUUUGUGCCCCCUUCAGGACCUAGUGACGAGAAAUACGACUCGAGCAUCGAGGCAUUUCCCUUCUAGUGAUCUUGUUUUCUCCUCACUACGCAUGACCUUUUUAUGUAUAAUUGUAACUUUAUGUCUUUCAUUUCGCUAGCACUAUUGU